AGAAUAUAUUUGACUAAUAUUUUAAAUACUUCAAAAAAAUUGGGUGCGAACCUUUUGAGUGUUUAAAAAUAUUUGGGGAUGCAAAUCCUAUCACUUCGUGAUUAUAUUAUAAUUUUUUAGUAUAACUAGUAAAAAAUUGAAAAAAAAUUGGGAUACGACUACCCCUUACGCCUUCACAAAUCCAUCCCUAUAGAGUAAUAUAUAAAAGAGAAAAGAUAAAAUAAGAAAUUUUGAUAUUUUUUGUUGACUCUUUAAAUUAUAUAUACAUUCUAGAAUACUCAAAAUGAAAUAAUGGUACUUCAAUAUAGGACGGAAGGAGUAUAAUAUUAGGCAUUGCUCUUUUUACCUACAACGGACAUCAAAUUUAGACUAAAAAAAAUUUAUUAAGAUUCAAAAUAAAUUAUUAAGAUUCACCUUGAUUAGUGAAAGCUUAUACUAAGGCUGUUAAAUUUUUGUUUUCAAAUUGGGAGAUUGCAGGGUUUCUCUUUCCCUAUUCAAAGAGAAAAGCAAAGAAAAACAGUCAUGCUGAUUCUGGCACUUUAAGGGUGGUUUUUAAUCAUUUUGCUGGUAACAUGGCCAUACACACGACAAGCAUUUCGGUUCAAAAAUAAACCUAAAAGCUACUGCCAAGCAUGUGAAGCAUCGAUUUACGAGUAUUCUCAAAAAAAUAAUAAAUAAAUAUAUGUAUAUACUAUUAUAUAAUAAGAAAUUAUCUGUUUUCUGUUGGGCUAAUUAUAUAGUUUCGAUCCUCUAAGUGGAGGUGUUGGGAGUGUAUCUAAGUGUAACCAAAUGAUUUAGGAUUAAAACACCUCGUUUUGUAACUUCAAUACCAAAACGACGUCAUUUUUAGGCUCCUUUUGGCAAUGCUUCAAGCUAAUUUUCUUUAAACUUCUGUAUCACAAAUUAUCCGAUUUUUUAACUUUUUUGCUUUUGUGGAUUUACUUUACUAAAAUUUAAGCAAAAAAACAAAAACAGAAAAACAAAAAAGCCCCGAAAACCCCCUCUGAUUGACUUUUUUGGCUUAUUUUAAGGGGCAAAAAGCAAAAAAAAACUGAAAAAAAACUGGUGUCAAACGGAGCCGUAUUCUGACCACGUCGUUUUACUUAUAAUUAAAACGACAUUAUUUUAUCCUAAAAUAUACAAAACGAUGUCGUUUUGUACACUUCAGGCAACCCUUUAUAAUCCGCACUUCGAGUAUCUGAACUCUAAUUAUAUAUAAGAUUUUUGUUCAAGACAAAUUCAUAAAUAACUCUCAUGCCUAAACAAACACUCGUUGUAAUUCUAUAUGGAGUGCUCAUAUAAUUUUUUUUAACGGAUCGUACAAUUAAUUGCGAGAGUUAUGAUGUAGCAUUUUAUUUUUGUAUUUUGGUUUUAAAAACUUUAAAAUAUAAUAAUUUUUAUCGUACACUAUUUUUUUUAAUAAAAUUUAUAUUUUUACAAUCUUCUCAAUGAAAUCUAUUAAAUAAGAUUUAUAUCAAAUAUGAAAUUCUAGCAAUAGAAAAAGUAAUUUUUUUUCUAGUAAUUAGAUUCUCAGUGAGGUUAUUGAUAAAUUGAAUUAUUUCACACAAAAUUGUAUAAAAUACAAAAAUUAUAAAACAUUUGAGAUUAAUAUGUUAAUUUGAUUGACUGAUAUUUAUCAUUUUGCACAUAUAUUUAUAAGGAAUAAAAAAAUUAUUCAUAAUGCAUUUAUAUUUUUAGUUAGAAUACAUAAUGGGAAUUUUAUCAUUCAAAUAUGAGAAAAAUUAAAAAAUUAUCUAUUUAUGACAAUUAUAAUUUUAUAGCAUGUGUCUACAAUUUUAGUUAUUUAAGAUACAUAGUAUAAAAUAUACGUAAAAAUUAUAUAUUUGUUUAUUAAAAUAUGAAUAUGCUUUCGAAAAUUUUGUAUAUUAGAAUCUAAAAUAUUACAAAUUAAUAAUACAAAAUGAGAAUUUUAUCAUUUAACAAAUAUACAAUAAAACAUAUAAAUUUUCACAGGUAUGUUCAUAUUUUUUUUACUUGUUGAUAUACAUAAAAAAAGAGAAUUAAAUUCUUAGGUACCCAAAAAAAAAGAUAUGAAGGAAAUUGGAAAAAAAAAUGUCAUUAUAGGUGUAAACAAAAAUUGGGGGGAAAUUUAAAAAUAAAAGUUUUAUACUUAAAAACUAUAUUCUUUUUUUUUUGGAGUGCAAAUUGAUAUCUAGAAUAAAUAAAAAAGAAAAGAAAAAUCAUUUUCUUGGUUUUAAAAAAAUAUGAAAGAGAACUUAAAUAAACAAAAAGAAAAUAAAAAAACAGGGUAAAUUAUAAAUAUCACCCCUGAGGUUUUGGUCAAAUACAGUCUUCCCCUUAUAGUAUAGAAAAUGACAAAUUUUCCCUUGUCCGUGUUUGUCUGCUGACGGUUUAAAAUUACAAAUUAUAAAUAUGUAGUGUGGCGUUUCCGCCACACUACACCGUCACCACUUCCCGUUGAAAUACCCAAUUCACCACAGAUUGCUCCGCCACUACCACCUAUCGUACACUGUCUGUG
rnacentral:lncRNA from 1 species